CCCUCCACCUACAUGAAGUUCCCUUUCAAGGUGUCUAUCAUUCUCUGGCCCCUUAAAUCUCUAACCCCCACCCGACCCCAGUUUCCUUCAAUUCUCCCCACUUUCGGAUCGCCUCGCCUCCUUUAGGGAGUUUCUCCAGUUCUCACGCUGUCUUCCCUUUCCCCUGCAUCGCGACUCCAAUCGUUUUUUGUCGCCCCUGACCCUUCGCCUUCCCCGUGACACCCCUGCAGCAGACGACCCUCUCGGCACAUCCUGCGCGUCCCAGGCCUCCCCACCGCCCCCGACCUCGGCUCUGUCCCUUCGCCCCGGGUCCCCGCUGUCCUCAACGCCAACUCUCCGCCGCUCCUUCCCGGUCCUCCCCCCGCGCCGGUCCACUCACAGGAGGCCGGAGCAGGUGGUGCAGACGAAGCUGCCCACGGUGAUAUCCACGUAGGUGACCCCGCGCUGGGCGCACUCGAAGCAGUGGCGGUUCCCGGCCUGGCUGCAGCCUCCCAGCUCCCGCACCCGGCGACACCACACCUCCGAGGCCGCCUCCGCCUCCGCCUUUCCCCCGCCGACCCCGCCACCCGGCCCUGGGCCCUUCUUCGCUGCCAUCACCAUGGCUGCUCAACCCCUCGGACCUCCUCCCUGCAAGUCAGGAAUCGCCCCUUCAACCACUGCCGCCUUCCCGCCUCCUCAACCGCCCCCGCACGCCCGGCUCCCCCGACAGAAGCUAGGGAGCCGGCGGCAGCCGCGCGAGACUCCUCAACCCCCUGCUUCUCCUGUCCUGCACGCUGAUUGGCUAGCCUCCUCCACCUCCUCACUCUGAUUGGCCCGGCAUUGGACGGCCUCGAGUUGCGGGAGCUGCCAACGCCACGCCCCACUGCCUUCAGACCUCAGGCCUCUCGGAUUGGGCUGCUGAGACCCUGGCUGCGAGAACUGUGCGUGCUCUCUCCUUGUUCCCGCCCCCUCUCGCCACUGCCUCCAGGGCUGACCGCCUCCCACACUCGAUUGCUGCACCAUGUGGCAAGCGGGAUCUUACUUCCCCGACCAGGGAUCCGAGCCCUCGUCCCCUGCAGUGGAAGCACGGAGUCUUAACCACUGGACCACCAGGGAUGUCCGGCUCACUGUACCUUGUCGGAGGAGUCCAGCUCUCUCCCUCUCCUACUCCUGGAGCACUGCCUGGUGUCGGCUCAGGUAUCUCACCUCCCUGAAUAGACUACAAGCUGCUUGAGGACAGGCUUCAGUCGGAACGUUCCUUCUGCAUCGGCGCACGGCCACGCACACAUCAGAUGCUCAAUUAGGGUUUGCUGAGUCACUGCACGGUGGCGUUCCCAAAGACUUUCCUCCAGCUCCACCUCUCCCUCUCACGUGCCAUAGUAACCCGCCCUGCACAACCUCUGGCUCCCACCAACCAGGGGCAAGAGUGAAAACGGGACGGGUAUAUGAAAGGCGGAGCGCACUGAAACAUAAGAAGCCAGUUCUAGGAUCGUUAGUCUUUUAAUAUAUUAUUCUGAAAAGAAAGGAAUUAAAAAAAAGUUCCUGACAUC